rnacentral:rRNA from 1 species
AGCAGCCGCGGUAAUUCCAGCUCCAAUAGCGUAUAUUAAAGUUGUUGCAGUUAAAAAGCUCGUAGUUGAAUUUCGGGAUCAAUGUUUCGGUCAUGCCCUUGGUAUGUACUGAUAUUAUUGGUUUCUCACCUUCUAAAGAACCGUAAUGCCAUUAAUUUGGUGUCACGGGGAAUUAGGACUGUUACCUUGAAAAAAUUAGAGUGUUUAAAGCAGGCUCACGCUUGAAUACAUUGGCAUGGAAUAAUGAAAUAGGACAUCCGAUUCUAUUUUGUUGGUUUCUAGGAUCGAUGUAAUGAUUAAUAGGGAUAGUUGGGGGCAUUAGUAUUCAAUUGUCAGAGGUGAAAUUCUUGGAUUUAUUGAAGACUAACUACUGCGAAAGCAUUUGCCAAGGAUGUUUUCAUUAAUCAAGAACGAAAGUUAGGGGAUCGAAGACGAUCAGAUACCGUCGUAGUCUUAACCAUAAACUAUGCCGACUAGGGAUCGGAUGAUGUUAAUGUUUUAAUGACUCA